GAUGAACGCUGGCGGCAGGCUUAACACAUGCAAGUCGAGCGCCCCGCAAGGGGAGCGGCAGACGGGUGAGUAACACGUGGGAACGUACCCUUUACCACGGAACAACUCCGGGAAACUGGAGCUAAUACCGUAUGUGCCCUUCGGGGGAAAGAUUUAUCGGUAAAGGAUCGGCCCGCGUUGGAUUAGCUAGUUGGUGGGGUAAAGGCCUACCAAGGCGACGAUCCAUAGCUGGUCUGAGAGGAUGAUCAGCCACAUUGGGACUGAGACACGGCCCAAACUCCUACGGGAGGCAGCAGUGGGGAAUAUUGGACAAUGGGCGCAAGCCUGAUCCAGCCAUGCCGCGUGAGUGAUGAAGGCCUUAGGGUUGUAAAGCUCUUUCACCGAUGAAGAUAAUGACGGUAGUCGGAGAAGAAGCCCCGGCUAACUUCGUGCCAGCCGCCGCGGUAA
rnacentral:rRNA from 1 species